AGUCGAGGGGUAUUUAUCUUCGGAUAGAGAGACCGGCGCACGGGUGCGUAACGCGUAUGCAAUCUACCUUUUACAGAGGGAUAGCCCAGAGAAAUUUGGAUUAAUACCUCAUAGUAUGCAGAGUUGGCAUCAACACUGCAUUAAAGUCACAACGGUAAAAGAUGAGCAUGCGUCCCAUUAGCUAGUUGGUAAGGUAACGGCUUACCAAGGCUACGAUGGGUAGGGGUCCUGAGAGGGAGAUCCCCCACACUGGUACUGAGACACGGACCAGACUCCUACGGGAGGCAGCAGUGAGGAAUAUUGGACAAUGGGCGCAAGCCUGAUCCAGCCAUGCCGCGUGCAGGAUGACGGUCCUAUGGAUUGUAAACUGCUUUUAUACGAGAAGAAACACUGCUUCGUGAAGCAGCUUGACGGUAUCGUAAGAAUAAGGAUCGGCUAACUCCGUGCCAGCAGCCGCGGUAAUACGGAGGAUCCAAGCGUUAUCCGGAAUCAUUGGGUUUAAAGGGUCCGUAGGCGGUUUAAUAAGUCAGUGGUGAAAGCCCAUCGCUCAACGGUGGAACGGCCAUUGAUACUGUUAAACUUGAAUUAUUANGAAGUAACUAGAAUAUGUAGUGUAGCGGUGAAAUGCUUAGAGAUUACAUGGAAUACCAAUUGCGAAGGCAGGUUACUACUAAUGGAUUGACGCUGAUGGACGAAAGCGUGGGUAGCGAACAGGAUUAGAUACCCUGGUAGUCCACGCCGUAAACGAUGGAUACUAGCUGUUGGAAGC
rnacentral:rRNA from 1 species